AUUGAACGCUGGCGGCAGGCCUAACACAUGCAAGUCGAGCGAGCGGCGGACGGGGGAGUAAUGUCUGGGAAACUGCCUGAUGGAGGGGGAUAACUACUGGAAACGGUAGCUAAUACCGCAUACCCUCAGAUGUGCCCAGAUGGGAUUAGCUAGUAGGUGGGGUAAUGGCUCACCUAGGCGACGAUCCCUCGCUGGUCUGAGAGGAUGACCAGCCACACUGGAACUGAGACACGGUCCAGACUCCUACGGGAGGCAGCAGUGGGGAAUAUUGCACAAUGGGCGCAAGCCUGAUGUAGCCAUGCCGCGUGUGUGAAGAAGGCCUUCGGGUUGUAAAGUACUUUCAGCGGGGAGGCGUUACCCGCAGAAGAAGCACCGGCUAACUCCGUGCCAGCAGCCGCGGUAAUUC
rnacentral:rRNA from 1 species